rnacentral:rRNA from 1 species
GACGAACGCUGGCGGCGUGCUUAACACAUGCAAGUCGAACGGAAAGGCCCUGCUUUUGUGGGGUGCUCGAGUGGCGAACGGGUGAGUAACACGUGAGUAACCUGCCCUUGACUUUGGGAUAACUUCAGGAAACUGGGGCUAAUACCGGAUAGGAGCUCCUGCUGCAUGGUGGGGGUUGGAAAGUUUCGGCGGUUGGGGAUGGACUCGCGGCUUAUCAGCUUGUUGGUGGGGUAGUGGCUUACCAAGGCUUUGACGGGUAGCCGGCCUGAGAGGGUGACCGGCCACAUUGGGACUGAGAUACGGCCCAGACUCCUACGGGAGGCAGUAGUGGGGAAUAUUGCACAAUGGGCGGAAGCCUGAUGCAGCAACGCCGCGUGCGGGAUGACGGCCUUCGGGUUGUAAACCGCUUUCGCCUGUGACGAAGCGUGAGUGACGGUAAUGGGUAAAGAAGCACCAGCUAACUACGUG